rnacentral:misc_RNA from 1 species
GACGAACCGUGCAAACGUUAUUCGGAAUCACUGGGCUUAAAGGGUGCGUAGGCUGUGAGAAGGGUGGGGUGUGAAAUCCCUCGGCUUAACCGAGGAAUUGCGCUCCAAACCGCCUCACUGGAGUGAGACAGAGGUGAGCGGAACUGAUGGUGGAGCGGUGAAAUGCGUUGAUAUCAUCAGGAACACCAGAGGCGAAGGCGGCUCACUGGGUCUCAACUGACGCUGAUGCACGAAAGCUAGGGUAGCGAACGGG